ACCCGACUGCUAUCAGAGUGGGACUAAGCCAUGCGAGUCAACAUAGCAAUAUGUGGCAUACGGCUCAGUAACACGUAGUCAACCUGCCCAGGGGACGUGGAUAACCUCGGGAAACUGAGGAUAAACCGCGAUAGGUCAUCACUUCUGGAAUGGGUAAUGACUUAAAUCUAUAUGGCCCCUGGAUUGGACUGCGGCCGAUCAGGCUGUUGGUGAGGUAAUGGCCCACCAAACCUGUAACCGGUACGGACUCUGAGAGGAGGAGCCCGGAGAUGGGCACUGAGACAAGGGCCCAGGCCCUAUGGGGCGCAGCAGGCGCGAAACCUCUGCAAUAGGCGAAAGCUUGACAGGGUUACUCUGAGUGAUUUCCGUUAAGGAGAUCUUUUGGCACCUCUAAAAAUGGUGCAGAAUAAGGGGUGGGCAAGUCUGGUGUCAGCCGCCGCGGUAAUACCAGCACCCCGAGUGGUCGGGACGUUUAUUGGGCCUAAAGCAUCCGUAGCCGGUUCUACAAGUCUUCCGUUAAAUCCACCUGCUUAACAGAUGGGCUGCGGAAGAUACUAUAGAGCUAGGAGGCGGGAGAGGCAAGCGGUACUCGAUGGGUAGGGGUAAAAUCCGUUGAUCCAUUGAAGACCACCAGUGGCGAAGGCGGCUUGCCAGAACGCGCUCGACGGUGAGGGAUGAAAGCUGGGGGAGCAAACCGGAUUAGAUACCCGGGUAGUCCCAGCUGUAAACGAUGCAGACUCGGUGAUGAGUUGGCUUAUUGCUAACUCAGUGCCGCAGGGAAGCCGUUAAGUUUGCCGCCUGGGGAGUACGGUCGCAAGACUGAAACUUAAAGGAAUUGGCGGGGGAGCACCACAAGGGGUGAAGCCUGCGGUUCAAUUGGAGUCAACGCCGGAAAUCUUACCGGGGGCGACAGCAGAGUGAAGGUCAAGCUGAAGACUUUACCAGACAAGCUGAGAGGAGGUGCAUGGCCGUCGCCAGCUCGUGCCGUGAGGUGUCCUGUUAAGUCAGGUAACGAGCGAGAUCCCUGCCUCUAGUUGCUACCAUUAUUCUCAGGAGUAGUGGAGCUAAUUAGAGGGACCGCCGUCGCUGAGACGGAGGAAGGUGGGGGCUACGGCAGGUCAGUAUGCCCCGAAACCCUCGGGCCACACGCGGGCUGCAAUGGUAAGGACAAUGAGUUUCGAUUCCGAAAGGAGGAGGCAAUCUCUAAACCUUACCACAGUUAUGAUUGAGGGCUGAAACUCGCCCUCAUGAAUAUGGAAUCCCUAGUAACCGCGUGUCACUAUCGCGCGGUGAAUACGUCCCUGCUCC
rnacentral:rRNA from 1 species